rnacentral:rRNA from 1 species
GUGCGAAAGCGUGGGGAGCAAACAGGAUAGAUACCCUGUAGUCCACGCUGUAACCGAUGUCGAUUGGAGGUUGUGCCUUGAGGCGUGGCUUCCGGAGCUAACGCGUUAAAUCGACCGCUGGGGAGUACGGCCGCAAGGUUAAAACUCAAAUGAAUUGACGGGGGCCCGCACAAGCGGUGGAGCAUGUGGUUUAAUUCGAUGCAACGCGAAGAACCUUACCUACUCUUGACAUCCAGAGAACUUUCCAGAGAUGGAUUGGUGCCUUCGGGAACUCUGAGACAGGUGCUGCGUGGCUGUCGUCAGCUCGUGUUGUGAAAUGUUGGGUUAAGUCCCGCAACGAGCGCAACCCUUAUCCUUUGUUGCCAGCGGUUCGGCCGGGAACUCAAAGGAGACUGCCAGUGAUAAACUGGAGGAAGGUGGGGAUGACGUCAAGUCAUCAUGGCCCUUACGAGUAGGGCUACACACGUGCUACAAUGGCGUAUACAAAGAGAAGCGACCUCGCGAGAGCAAGCGGACCUCAUAAAGUACGUCGUAGUCCGGAUUGGAGUCUGCAACUCGACUCCAUGAAGUCGGAAUCGCUAGUAAUCGUAGAUCAGAAUGCUACGGUGAAUACGUUCCCGGGCCUUGUACACACCGCCCGUCACACCAUGGGAGUGGGUUGCAAAAGAAGUAGGUAGCUUAACCUUCGGGAGGGCGCUUACCACUUUGUGAUUCAUGACUGGGGUGAAGUCGUAACAAGGUAACCA